AGAAAUAGGGUGGGGUUUGACAAUUUCACACCCCAACCCCAGCAAACCCUCAAGGCCAUUUUCGACCAGGUAAAUGAAAGAUUCUCUCUAAAGCAUCUAAUCACCUCUUCCACCACAAGAUCAGUUCAUCCCUCUGCCCAGGCGUCUUGGGCAGCCCCUGCUGAGCCUUUUGUCAAAAUAAAUGUUGAUGCCGGUUGGAGGAAAAGCACAUGUCAUGCGGGGGCUGGCAUAGUUAUUCGAAACUUUGAAGGAAGAUUUCUUGGGGCCAAAUCUGUGGAUUUUCAAGCGGAGAAUGCUCUUAUAGCUGAGGCAACAGCGUUAUGGGAGGGCUGCAAAUUUGCUAAGGAGCAGGGUCACAACAUGGUUUGUUUCGAGUCAGAUUCUUUGGAGCUUAUCAAAAGUGUUCGUGGCUCUUUU
rnacentral:lncRNA from 1 species